rnacentral:rRNA from 1 species
AGGACGAACGCUGGCGGCGCGCCUAACACAUGCAAGUCGAGCGAGAACCAGGGCUUGCCCUGGGGACAGCGGCGAACGGGUGCGUAACACGUGAGCAACCUGCCCCAAAGACCGGGACAACCCGAGGAAACUCGGACUAAUACCGGAUGCCCUCACCGGGUCGCAUGGUCUGGUGAGGAAAUGGAUUCCGCUUUGGGAUGGGCUCGCGGUCUAUCAGCUUGUGGCGGGUAACGCCCACAAGGCGACGACGGGUA